ACAAUGGCAGGUACAGAGGGGUGCUACCGGGUGACCGGAUGCCGAUCUCGAAAACCUGUCCCAGUUCGGACUGGAGUCUGCAACCCGACUCCACGAAGUUGGAUUCGCUAGUAAUCGCGCAUCAGCCAUGGCGCGGUGAAUACGUUCCCGGGCCUUGUACACACCGCCCGUCAAGCCAUGGGAGCCGGGGGCGCCUGAAGUCCGGGACCGCGAGGACCGGCCUAAGGCGAAACUGGUGACUGGGGCUAAGUCGUAACAAGGUAUC
rnacentral:rRNA from 1 species